UACGGAGGGUGCAAGCGUUAUCCGGAUUCACUGGGUUUAAAGGGUGCGUAGGAGGGCAGGUAAGUCAGUGGUGAAAUCCCCGAGCUUAACUUGGGAACUGCCGUUGAUACUAUCUGUCUUGAAUACCGUGGAGGUGAGCGGAAUAUGUCAUGUAGCGGUGAAAUGCUUAGAUAUGAACAUAGAACACCAAUUGCGAAGGCAGCUCGCUACACGAAUAUUGACUCUGAGGCACGAAAGUGCGGGGAUCAAACAGG
rnacentral:rRNA from 1 species